UAUCCAGACUCCUACGGGAGGCAGCAGUGGGGAAUAUUGCACAAUGGGGGAAACCCUGAUGCAGCGACGCCGCGUGAGCGAUGAAGUAUUUCGGUAUGUAAAGCUCUAUCAGCAGGGAAGAAAAUGACGGUACCUGACUAAGAAGCCCCGGCUAACUACGUGCCAGCAGCCGCGGUAAUACGUAGGGGGCAAGCGUUAUCCGGAUUUACUGGGUGUAAAGGGGGCGUAGACGGCAAUGCAAGCCAGAUGUGAAGGCCCGGGGCUCAACCCCGGGACUGCAUUUGGAACUGUGUAGCUGGAGUGCGGGAGGGGCAGGCGGAAUUCCUGGUGUAGCGGUGAAAUGCGUAGAUAUCAGGAGGAACACCGGCGGCGAAGGCGGCCUGCUGGACCGUGACUGACGUUGAGGCUCGAGAGCGUGGGGAGCAAACAGGAUUAGAUACCCCCGUAUA
rnacentral:rRNA from 1 species